rnacentral:rRNA from 1 species
UACGAAGGGGGCUAGCGUUGUUCGGAAUCACUGGGCGUAAAGAGCGCGCAGGCGGUCGAUCAAGUCGCGUGUGAAAGCCCCCGGCUCAACUGGGGAGGGUCACGCGAUACUGAUCGACUCGAAGGCAGGAGAGGGUAGUGGAAUUCCCGGUGUAGUGGUGAAAUGCGUAGAUAUCGGGAGGAACACCAGUGGCGAAGGCGACUACCUGGCCUGUUCUUGACGCUGAGGCGCGAAAGCUAGGGGAGCAAACGGG